rnacentral:rRNA from 1 species
UACGAAGGGGGCUAGCGUUGCUCGGAAUUACUGGGCGUAAAGGGCGCGUAGGCGGAUAGUUUAGUCAGAGGUAAAAGCCCAGGGCUCAACCUUGGAACUGCCUUUGAUACUGGCUAUCUUGAGUUCGGGAGAGGUGAGUGGAAUGCCGAGUGUAGAGGUGAAAUUCGUAGAUAUUCGGCGGAACACCAGUGGCGAAGGCGGCGAUCUGGGAAGAUACUGACGCUGAGGUGCGAAAGCGUGGGGAGCAAACAGG